GACGAACGCUGGCGGCGCGCUUAACACAUGCAAGUCGAGCGACGAAAGGGCCUUCGGGCCCCUGAAAGCGGCGAACGGGUGAGUAACACGUGGGUAACCCACCCUCGGUACCGGGAUAGCCCGGGGAAACCCGGAUUAAUACCGGAUGGCCUCUCCGGUCUACGGAUUGGCGAGAAAAGGUAGCUUCGGCCUCCGACCGAGGACGGGCCCGCGGCCGAUUAGCUUGUUGGUGGGGUAACGGCCCACCAAGGCGACGAUCGGUAGCUGGUCUGAGAGGACGAUCAGCCACACUGGGACUGAGACACGGCCCAGACUCCUACGGGAGGCAGCAGUGGGGAAUCUUGCGCAAUGGGCGGAAGCCUGACGCAGCGACGCCGCGUGCGGGAAGAAGGCCUUCGGGUUGUAAACCGCUUUCAGAAGGGACGAAGCCACUCGGGUGAAUAGCCCAGAGGGUGACGGUACCUUCAGAAGAAGCCCCGGCUAACUACGUGCCAGCCGCCGCAGUAAAAC
rnacentral:rRNA from 1 species